rnacentral:rRNA from 1 species
AUUGAACGCUGGCGGCAGGCUUAACACAUGCAAGUCGAGCGGGGUGAUGGUGCUUGCACUAUCACUUAGCGGCGGACGGGUGAGUAAUGCUUAGGAAUCUGCCUAUUAGUGGGGGACAACAUUUCGAAAGGAAUGCUAAUACCGCAUACGUCCUACGGGAGAAAGCAGGGGAUCUUCGGACCUUGCGCUAAUAGAUGAGCCUAAGUCGGAUUAGCUAGUUGGUGGGGUAAAGGCCUACCGAGGCGACGAUCUGUAGCGGGUCUGAGAGGAUGAGCCGCCACACUGGGACUGAGACACGGCCCAGACUCCGACGGGAGGCAGCAGUGGGGAAUAUUGGACAAUGGGCGGAAGCCUGAUCCAGCCAUGCCGCGUGUGUGAAGAAGGCCUUAUGGUUGUAAAGCACUUUAAGCGAGGAGGAGGCUACUUUAGUUAAUACCUAGAGAUAGUGGACGUUACUCGCAGAAUAAGCACCGGCUAACUCUGUGCCAGCCGCCGCGGUAAUAC